UUCAUGGAUUUUUUAAAAUCCACAAAAAAUUUCAAAUCCCUAAUAU
rfam:Triticum aestivum genome assembly, contig: Triticum_aestivum_CS42_TGACv1_scaffold_435903_5DL